rnacentral:rRNA from 1 species
UACGGGGGGAGCAAGCGUUGUUCGGAAUUACUGGGCGUAAAGGGCUCGUAGGCGGCCAACUAAGUCAUACGUGAAAUCCCCAGGCUCAACCUGGGAACUGCGUCUGAUACUGGUUGGCUUGAAUCCGGGAGAGGGAUGCAGAAUUCCAGGUGUAGCGGUGGAAAUGCGUAGAUAUGUGGAGGAACACCGAUGGCGAAGGCAGCCCCUGGGUCAAAACUGACGCUCAUGCACG